UACGAAGGGGGCUAGCGUUGUUCGGAUUUACUGGGCGUAAAGCGCACGUAGGCGGUUUGUUAAGUCAGGGGUGAAAUCCCAGAGCUCAACUCUGGAACUGCCUUUGAUACUGGCAAGCUCGAGUUCCGGAAGAGGUAAGUGGAACUCCUAGUGUAGAGGUGGAAUUCGUAGAUAUUAGGAAGAACACCAGUGGCGAAGGCGGCUUACUGGUCCGGAACUGACGCUGAGGUGCGAAAGCGUGGGUAGCAAACAGG
rnacentral:rRNA from 1 species